GAUGGUCUGAGAAAAUGCUUUUAAGGUAACUAGACAACACCAAAUCAGGCAUUUGGAAAAUAGUAAAGUCUUCAGGCAGGAGCAUACAACUGUCUAGUAUGGUGUCACAAGGAGAGCAUAAAAUGAAACACUUGGUUAAACGAAAUAAGGGAUAAAACUCUCAAUUGGAAAUAUAAGUAAUGGCACAAAACCCUCUAAAAACUCUCUCAAGCAGUGUGACCCUCUUCUGCUGCGGCUUCAAAGGUCUGCCCAGCAACAAGAUCGGGGACCUCAUCAUCAUCAUCGUCUUGGGCUGC
rnacentral:lncRNA from 1 species